rnacentral:rRNA from 1 species
ACUCCUACGGGAGGCAGCAGUAGGGAAUAUUGGACAAUGGGCGAAAGCCUGAUCCAGCCAUGCCGCGUGUGUGAAGAAGGUCUUCGGAUUGUAAAGCACUUUAAGUUGGGAGGAAGGGCGAGUAAGUUAAUACCUUGCUGUUUUGUACGUUACCAACAGAAUAAGCACCGGCUAACUUCGUGCCAGCAGCCGCGGUAAUACGAAGGGGUGCAAGCGUUAAUCGGAAUUACUGGGCGUAAAGCGCGCGUAGGUGGUUCAGCAAGUUGGAUGUGAAAUCCCCGGGGCUCAACCUGGGAACUGCAUCCAAAACUACUGAGCUAGAGUACGGUAGAGGGUGGUGGAAUUUCCUGUGUAGCGGUGAAAUGCGUAGAUAUAGGAAGGAACACCAGUGGCGAAGGCGACCACCUGGACUGAUACUGACACUGAGGUGCGAAAGCGUGGGGAGCAAACAGGAUUAGAUA